GAGAGCACAGUACGAUGAAAGUUGUAAGCUGUGUUCGAAGGGGAGUUAUUUUCUAUUAUUGGCCUCUAUGGUAGAAUCAGUCGGGGGACCUGAGUGGUGGUGGUUUACCCUAC
rnacentral:ncRNA from 1 species